GAUUCAAUCCACGCUGCUAAAUUUAGGAGCUGGAAGACUCCAAAGACGAGCCCCUGUCAUCUGAAGGCGAUGCUGCUGGCCACACCGGGUGACGUGGCCCGGGAAGCGGUGGGGACACGUUGUACAGGCUGUGGCAGGGUCGUCCUUCCAGGGGCUUUGUGUCCCAGGGGGACAUGUCAUAGGGUGACCUGGGGCCACCCACGCACUCAGCUCUGCAGCAGCUUCGGGCCGCGGCACGGGGCGGUGGACAACGCGGGAGGACCUAGAACUUGAUGUCCUCUGGGCUGGCAGCUCUAGGAAAACCUGGACAGCCGCGGUCACCCCGGGGUAUGACACGUGUCCCUGCGCAAGGCCAAGUGCAGCCACUUCAACACACCUCCUCCCCGCUGGCUCCUGGGCUCUGCCCUCCCAGCACCUGGGCGACGGGUGGGAGCCCUGGGACUCUCCAGGCUGCGCCCCUCCAGGCCCAGAGGGGACCCCUCACGGGGAGCACAGGGCCCACCCACAUCGGGCAAAGGGGAUAUUGUGCAGAUGGCUGCAAAGGACGGGCCAGGGACAUCACUGUCCCACUGUGUUGGUGGAGGGUGGGAAUCAAGCGUCCUGAUUCAGUUUGUGCACAAACGUCACAUAGCUCAGGUGUCUCCUGCUACCUCAUCCUGUUUUAAUUUUGUCUUAUUCUUCUUGAUCUCUUCCUGUCUUUCUCUGCUCAUUUAUUUUUUUGUUUUUAGCACCGAAAUUUAAGCUCCAAGGGGGCAGGGAGUCUGGUCCAUCUCUCUCACUACUGCAUCUCGCGCGGCAGGUGUAUGAGUCAGCUCUCCGUUACUAUGACAAAAUACCUGAGAUAAUCAACUUAGGAAGGUCUAUUUUGGAUCACCGUCUCCAAGGUUUUGAUGUGUGCGUGUUUGGCCCUGUUGCUUUGGGCAACGGGACAUCAGUGUAUGAAAACACAUGGCAGAGGAGGGCUGUCACCUCGUGAUGGCCAGGAAGAAAACAGGGAGUGAGAAGGUCCCAGUAUCUCCUCCAAGGUCAGCCCCUCCCCUGGGGACUUAAUCCUUUCCAUCAGGCCCCAUCUCCUAAAGGCUCCCCAGCUCUGGCACCACAGGCAGGGGACCCAGCCUGAACAUGGGGGCCUCCUGGGGACCCGAGAUCCAAACUCGAGCAACAGCUGUCUAGGGAGAGCACGCUGUGAAGGUCAUGUGCAGGGGGCUGGCGGGAGGGCUCUUCUGGGCUCCCUGAGCACAGCUGUCCCCACCCCACCUCACUGCCCUGCUCUUGCUCCUCAUGGGUUCAAGGUCAGGGUGACUUAACCCUCCUCCUUUCUCGUCUUUCUGAGCAUCUGUCACUUGGGUCCUGGUCUCCUUGCCCUUGGGGCCAAACCUGGGAAUCCUGGCUGAGGUGAAAGGUCUUGGUCACCACGAGGCGGCUGCCUGCAGCAUCAGGAGGCCCUGGCCCUGGGGUCAGAUGGAGGGACCGAGACACAGUCACCGGAGAGCAAGUGUGGGGUCGUCCUGAACAGCAGGGCCACCGCAGGCCACAGUUCAGUACAUCGGGGUGACCGCAGGUCUCGUAUUACAUAUGUUAUAAGCAACUAAGGAGGAAGGAGUCUCGAGAUUCCCAAUGGGCAGAAAUGUCCCAGGAGGCUGGAACGCUGACCGCCUCCUUGAUCGCCCACCAACCACCACAGCGCCCUGUCACAGCGCCCCGACUCGCCAGGGUCACGACCAUGUCAC
rnacentral:lncRNA from 1 species